rnacentral:rRNA from 1 species
CACGUAGUUAGCCGGGGCUUCUUAGUCAGGUACCGUCAUUUUCUUCCCUGCUGAUAGAGCUUUACAUACCGAAAUACUUCCUCACUCACGCGGCGUCGCUGCAUCAGGGUUUCCCCCAUUGUGCAAUGUUCCCCACUGCUGCCUCCCGUAGGAGUUUGGGCCGUGUCUCAGUCCCAAUGUGGCCGUUCACCCUCUCAGGCCGGCUACUGAUCGUUGCUUUGGUAGGCCGUUACCCUGCCAACUGGCUAAUCAGACGCGGGUCCAUCUCAUACCGAUAAAUCUUUUCCGUCUGUAUCAUGCGAUACUAGCGGGUUAUGCGGUAUUAGCGGUCGUUUCCAACUGUUAUCCCCCUGUAUGAGGUAGGUUACCCACGCGUUACUCACCCGUCCGCCACUCAGUCACAAAGGCUUUCAUCCGAAGAAUCUUUCCUAAGUGCUUCGUUCGACUUGCAUGUGUUAAGCACGCCGCCAGCGUUCAUCCUGAGCCAGGAUCAAACUCU